rnacentral:rRNA from 1 species
CCUACGGGAGGCAGCAGUGAGGAAUAUUGGUCAAUGGCCGGAAGGCUGAACCAGCCAAGCCGCGUGAAGGACGAAUGUGCCAAGCAUUGUAAACUUCUUUUGUCAAGGGACAAAAUCAGGCUCGAGAGCCUGACCGAGUGUACUUGAUGAAAAAGCAUCGGCUAACUCCGUGCCAGCAGCCGCGGUCAUACGGGGGAUCCGACCGUUAUCCGGAUUUAUUGGGUUUAAAGGGUGCGUAGGGGGGCUGUUAAGUCAGCGGGAAAAGCCUGGGGCUCAACCCCGGCGAGCCGUUGAUACUGGCUGUCUUGAGAUGUCGUGAGGUAUGCGGAAUGCGCAGUGUAGCGGUGAAAUGCUUAGAUAUUGCGCAGAACUCCGAUUGCGAAGGCAGCAUAC